UGGGGAAUUUUGCGCAAUGGGCGGAAGCCUGACGCAGCAACGCCGCGUGGAGGAUGAAGGUCUUUGGAUUGUAAACUCCUGUCAGCAGGGAAAAGCGAAUGGGCCUAAUACGCCUGUGAGUUGAUUGUACCUGCAGAGGAAGCCCCGGCUAACUCUGUGCCAGCAGCCGCGGUAAUACAGAGGGGGCAAGCGUUAUUCGGAAUUAUUGGGCGUAAAGGGGCGCGUAGGCGGCUUGGCAAGUGGAAGGUGAAAUCCCUCGGCUUAACCGAGGAACUGCCCUCCAAACUGCUUUGCUUGAGGCCGGGAGAGGUGAGUGGAAUUCCCAGUGUAGCGGUGAAAUGCGUAGAUAUUGGGAGGAACACCAGUGGCGAAGGCGGCUCACUGGACCGGUUCUGACGCUGAGGCGCGAAAGCGUGGGGAGCAAACGGGAUUAGAUACCCCGGUAGUCCACGCCGUAAACGAUGAGUGCUUGGUGUAGCGGGUAUCGACCCCUGCUGUGCCGAAGUCAACACAUUAA
rnacentral:rRNA from 1 species